GCCAGUUGCGCUCUCUGGGCCAGGGCAGUUUGUCUGGCCACAAGCAGGCGUCAGAUGGCACCUAUAGCCAGAGCAGCCGUCUGGAGCUGGACUCAACCAAGCUGGGUCUGGGUCGUGGAGGGGAGGUGACCUGUGUGGCCAUUCACAUGGGUGGCACAAGGAAGGUCAAAGUGACCCUCAACGUGAUUGGUGUCAGUGCUCCUUCUAUUGAGGACUCCAUGAUGAUGGUUGUUGUUGCUUUGGGCCUUUACGGUCUGAUAAAGGUGUUUAGUCGGACAGUCAGCCCUACAGGUACAAGCAAUGGAGACACCAAAGAUAAGAAGGAGAAUUGACCUCGAAACCAGCAAGCUGUUAUUUUGGGCAUAAAAUGCCUGUUUUGGCUGAUGCGUUCUUCAACAGCUUCUUGUUCAACAUUUUAACGAUUUUGUUUAGCCUUGUGACACCGAGUUGGGGUUUUCAAAAAAUAAACUUAUGAAUGAUUUAAUUCUGUGAAGGUAUGAUAAAGAUAAAACUAAAGAUACACAGAAUGUGCUCUACUAUUAGGAAACGCACAGCGCCCUCAAAACUCCACUGUUGGUGUAUUUUACAUUUGUAUUAAUUUUGACAACUAUUGCACUCUAAAAAUUGUGACUUCUUUUAUGGUACCAAUGGAUGUUGGUUUUUUGAAUUGAUAUAUGAUGGGCAUGUGUGUGUGUGAGUGGGAGAAGGGGAGGGCAGAUUGUAAAUAGAUUUUUUUGUGUGCUUGAAUCGUAGCCUGUGCACUUGUCAAACACUGUUGGCUUUGAUUGAAAUAAAUACAUUUGGAAGGUU
ensembl:lncRNA